rnacentral:rRNA from 1 species
GAUGAACGCUGGCGGCGUGCCUAAUACAUGCAAGUCGAGCGAACGGACGAGAAGCUUGCUUCUCUGAUGUUAGCGGCGGACGGGCGAGUAACACGUGGAUAACCUACUUCUAAGACUGGGAUAACUUCGGGAAAACGGAGCUAAUAAUGGAUAAUAUUUUGAACCGCUUGGUUCAAAAGUGCAUGACGGUCUUGCUGUCUCUUAUAGCUGGAUCCGCGCUGCAUUAGCUAGUUGGUAAGGUAACGGCUUACCAAGGCAACGAUGCAUAGCCGACCUGAGAGAGUGAUCGGCCACAUUGGAACUGAGACACGGUCCAGACUCCAACGGGAGGCAGCAGUAGGGAAUCUUCCGCAAUGGGCGAAAGCCUGACGGAGCAACGCCGCGUGGGUGAUGAAGGUCUUCGGAUCGUAAAACUCUGUUAUGAGGAAGAACAUAUGUGUAAGUAACUGUGCACAUCUUGACGGUACCUAAUCAGAAAGCCACGGCUAACUACGUG